GUUUCCGUAGUGUAGCGGUCAUCACGUGAGUCUAACACACUCAAGGUCCCCGGUUCGAGCCCGGGCGGAAACA
rnacentral:tRNA from 1 species